rnacentral:misc_RNA from 1 species
UCUCCGUAGGUGAACCUGCGGAAGGAUCAUUAUUGUAUAACCGAGGUGCGAGGGCUGUCGCUGACCCGAAAGGUCGUGCACGCCCGAGUGCCCUCACACACAUCCAUCUCACCCCUAUGUGCACCACCGCGUGGGUCCCCCUUUGGCUUGUUCGGAGGGGGGCUUACGUUUUCACACAAACUUUGUAUGCAGUGUAGAAUGUAUUUUUUGUUUUUGCGAUCACGCAAUCAAUACAACUUUCAACAACGGAUCUCUUGGCUCCC